AUGAUGGACUGUAGGACAGGACUGCUGCUCUUAACUAUCUGCUGGGCAGGUGUUGAUGGUCAGACUCUGAUAGAAUCUGACUCGGCAGUAAAAAGACCUGGAGAAUCCCACAGACUGACCUGUACAACAUCUGGAUUCACAUUCAGCAGCUACGAAAUGAGCUGGAUCAGACAGAUUCCUGGAAAAGGACUGGAGUGGAUCGCUUAUAUCCGUUAUGACAGUGGCAGCAUUUACUAUUCCCAGUCAGUCCAAGGCCGUUUCACCAUUUCCAGAGAAAACGGCAGAAACCAGCUGUAUCUGCAGAUGAACAGUCUGAAAACUGAAGAUUCUGCUGUUUAUUAUUGUGCACGAGAGAAAACAUACAUCUCUUUUAUCUUCAAUUGA